AGGUGGGGACGGAGCAGCUGGUGUCUCGGCAGUAGAUGCGGCGGAUCAUAAGGACUUGGGUUUUGAGCGCCCUGCAGGAAGCCACUGGCCGCGUCCAGGGUCACCUGUGCCUGGUCGUUAGUCCCUCACAAUGCUGUCACUUUGUGACGCUCUUGUGCAGGAUUAAAUGUGAACAGCAGAGACGUGGGUGAUGCGCUGCCUCGUCAGAUGAUGGUCAGUUGUCCAAGCGGGCUGCCUUGCUCUUGGUGGCCUCAUCAUCCAGGGCUCACACACUGGAUGGUUGGGCCACAGUCGCGGUACCCCCCGGGCUGCAGGCUUUCCACCCUGCUUAGCAGGGCUCCAGGGCUCCGGGUAGAGCAGGGGGUCCCUCCCUUGGCACUUCCCCAGGGAGGAGCACGACCGUGCUCAGCUGCGGUCAGGCUGCUGCUCUUAGUUGUCUUUCCUUCUAACACUCAGGCUUCCCUUCCUGCCUCCUGGGUCGCUGAAGAAGGUCAGGUCCACAGAAAAGGCCUGGGGAGAGAAUGGUGGGGACACUUGCCUGGCCUUUGUGUUAGCGCUCAGCACACAUGUGUCCAGUGUAAAGUCCACCAAGAUUAGCAGGGCAUGGUAGCUGCCGCCUGUAAUCCCAGCUUCUCAGGAGUCUGAGGCAGGAGAAUUGCUUGAACCUGGGAGGCGGAGGUUGUAGUGAGCCAAGAUCGUGCCACUGCACUCCAGCCUGGGCGACAGAGUGAGACUCCAUCUCAAAAAAAAAAAAGUCCGUCGAGAGAGCAGGUGGCGGAUGCAGCUGAGAGCUCCAGGAAUGGGAGGGCCACGUGGUAGCCACUGGCAGCCUUGACUGAAAGAUGAAGGAGUCCAUGGUGCUAGGAGGAGGAGUUGCAUCCCAGCAGGCUCAGCUCCUGGAGCUGCCUCUCUGCACUCUGAAGGGAGGCCCAGUGGCUGCAAUAUUCUUCUUUGGGAAGUACAAUGCCAAGUAAAUAAAGAUAUUUGGGGUCAUUCUAGUUA